rnacentral:lncRNA from 1 species
AGCCGUGCAGAUCGUCUUCGAAAAACGUCGCAUUAACAGAAAGACAUUUUCCUUUGUAACUCGCAAUUGAAAGUAAUUAAGUAACUUGUUUUAUUUGCUUAGCUCGCGCCAUGGAGCUUUGUCUAGUUUACCGAGCAAGUGACAGGGGCCGGAAAGCAAUUUUAUGGUUGGAGUUGGUGGUGGUGGGACUUUGUAUUUCAUUCCAAAAUAGGCAAGAUAAGGAAACUUAAUAAGUAAAAAAGUGAAAGUAACAAAAAAUAUUGUUGAUAAGCACACCCCAUUGAUUUCUAUUCACAUUUUGUUGGUCUUAAUUAAAUGUUUGAGCGUAAUUGUCAUGCAGUUGGCCAUCUAAAGAUAACCUUCGAUGUAGCCAGAAUGCAACCUUGGUAUUCACUUCAUAUUUUACACUCCCUUACCACUUUACACGCCUUUCUCGUGAAAAUUAGCUCCACAACAACCGGUUCCGCAGUCCCCAAAUGAAAUGCGUUAUGUUUAAUUUUCUGUUGUCAACAAACUUUUAGCAACUUGCAAAUAGGCAUGUAAAGAAAAUGUGGGAAUACAAACGGUUCUUGACUUCGACUUGGAGCUUUCAUUAUAGCCAAUUAUUUCACGAUAUCCAAUUUUUCACGGCUUUAACGCCACAAACUCAGUUUAGUUGCGUGCCGGUGUUACAAUCAAUUUAGACAAUGCCCGUUGAUCGCAGUCUUAUGAUCCGCAGCCAUUUGUCCAGACCAUAUUAUCACCAAACCGCGCUUUUAAAUCAUGCACUUCAUGAUAUAGCUAGUUAAUAUUAUUUUCAUAGUUAUACAUUAUAGUAAAUGUUCUAUGCAUUGUUGUAAUAAAUGUUAUAUGAUAUCAGUGGCCAACCUGGAUGUUAUGUGUGGAACUACAGUACUUGUCACUUUCUUGUACGUUGGGUUCUAAUUACGUCGAUCACGUGCAUCACACGAUGAUAAAUAGCGGCCACAAAUCCAGAGCUAAGAUGACCUGCCUCAUCUUAACAGAACAUUGUAGUUGCUGGCGUGGACUGAAUAUUAUUAUAAGUAAUAGCAUAAAAAGAAGCGAAUUAGCUAUUAAAACGUCCCGCUCGAUGAGGGUUAAUUCCCUUGGGCGCCGCUCGAUGAGGGUCAUUUAGUAAAAUUUACUAAAUGACCCGAAUCGAGCGGCGCCCAAGGAAAUUUUACUAAACGACCCUCAUCGGGCGGGACGUUUCAAUAGCUAAUUCGCUUCUUUUUAUGCUAUUACCUUAUAAUAUCAUGAUUGCGGGUAUUCCCGUUGGCGUUGUUCUCGCAUUAAAAACCAAUUAACAAUAAAUAAUGGUAUAAAUUAAAUGGUAUAAUUGUUUUCCCUGUCUUUGUUUAGUUUUAGCGAUUUCAGAUAUCUUCAUUUAUAUUCAUUUUUUCUAAUCGUACCCGCUUUGACGUCGUUUCGGGUAGGAUUAGAACUAAUUCUACCUGACAUGACGUAAAAGCAGGUAGGAUUAGAAAAUAUGAAAAUAAUGAGGUGUAUUAGUUUUUAAUUGCCCUGCGAGAACAAAGGGAAUACCCGCAAUCAUGAUAUUAUUAUACUAAUGAGGCGAACUACUAAAUUAGUUCAAGAUACAGUCGGCGCAGUUUUUAAUUUAUUGAUAGAAUUUGAGGUUAAGAAACUGCUAAAGACUCCAAACUGGGGAAUUAAUUAAGAACGCUUAGGAAUAAUUAAACUUACAGUUUGAAGCUUAAUUUGUUGCAAAUAGAUGUUGUUGCAAGUAAAGCAAGACGAAAAAGCGCACUAAUUUUUUUCUGACUUGGCCCACAAUACGAAGCAAAGACUACUCAGCGACAUGAUCAUUUUCCUGUACAAUUUGUGAUCGUGGUAAGGGCUGAUAAAUAGUCACGUGCAAUUGUAAUUAAGUUUGAUAACUAAAGGUUUAUACUCUGAUGAACAAUCACGUUUGCUUCGAAACAUUGUAGUUUGAUGUGACUGGAAUAGACAAUAUUUCUUCUGCUGCGGUUGAAUGCUAAGUGCAAAAGAC